rnacentral:rRNA from 1 species
GAUGAACGCUGGCGGCGUGCCUAAUACAUGCAAGUCGAGCGAACAGACGAGGAGCUUGCUCCUCUGACGUUAGCGGCGGACGGGUGAGUAACACGUGGAUAACCUACCUAUAAGACUGGGAUAACUUCGGGAAACCGGAGCUAAUACCGGAUAAUAUAUUGAACCGCAUGGUUCAAUAGUGAACGACGGUUUUGCUGUCACUUCUAGAUGGAUCAGCGCCGCAUUAGCUAGUUGGUAAGGUAACGGCUUACCAAGGCAACGAUGCGUAGCCGACCUGAGAGGGUGAUCGGCCACACUGGAACUGAGACACGGUCCAGACUCCUACGGGAGGCAGCAGUAGGGAAUCUUCCGCAAUGGGCGAAAGCUUGACGGAGCAACGCCGCGUGAGUGAUGAAGGUCUUCGGAUCGUAAAACUCUGUUAUUAGGGAAGAACAAAUGUGUAAGUAACUAUGCACGUCUUGACGGUACCUAAUCAGAAAGCCACGGCUAACUACGUG